rnacentral:tRNA from 1 species
GGGGCAGUGGCGGAACUGGUAGACGCACCAUCUUGAGGGGGUGGCACCAACAGGCGUGUGAGUUCGAAUCUCAUCUGCCCCACCA